rnacentral:rRNA from 1 species
GAGUUUGAUCCUGGCUCAGGACGAACGCUGGCGGCGUGCCUAACACAUGCAAGUCGAACGGAACUUCUUUAAAGGAUUUCUUCGGAAUGAAUUUGAUUAAGUUUAGUGGCGGACGGGUGAGUAACGCGUGAGUAACCUGCCUCUAAGAGGGGAAUAACAUUCUGAAAAGAAUGCUAAUACCGCAUAACAUACAUUUAUCGCAUGGUAGAUAUAUCAAAGAUUUAUCGCUUAGAGAUGGACUCGCGUCCGAUUAGUUAGUUGGUGAGGUAACGGCUCACCAAGACCGCGAUCGGUAGCCGGACUGAGAGGUUGAACGGCCACAUUGGGACUGAGACACGGCCCAGACUCCUGCGGGAGGCAGCAGUGGGGGAUAUUGCACAAUGGGGGAAACCCUGAUGCAGCGACGCCGCGUGGAGGAAGAAGGUUUUCGGAUUGUAAACUCCUGUCGUUAGGGACGAUAAUGACGGUACCUGACUAAGAAGCACCGGCUAAAUACGUGCGGAGCCGCCGCGGUAAUAC